UACUAAGAGAUCCUAUUGGUGGAACGCAGUCUGAAGAGGCGGAGUACUAAGAGAUCCUAUUGGUGGAACGCAGUCUGAAGAGGCGGAGUACUAAGGCAUGGACCAGUAAAAGACUAGUGGUGUGUCUGUGCCACUGUCCCUCUAACACUGUAUUAUUGCAAAGAUCUUAGCCAGAGAGGAUGGAGUGGAGGUGCAUAGUUCAUGUUUCUGUCUCUCUAACGCUGUGCUGAAUCUCACUUGCUGUGGAGCGCCACGGUUCCUCUUUUCAAUGAAGACUGGGAUUUAAUAUGAGUUCAUGAACACAGAUGUAACAUCAGAUUAACGUCCCCAAAUCAUAACGUUAGCAAUAGGGGUGGGGAACGCAAAACUGACCUUGGAUCAGUAUCCAGGGGCAACUUCAUCCUACUCUAAGUUAGAUGUAUAAAACACUCUCUUGUACUCUGGCACCAUCCUCUGGCCACAUUAUAGAAAAGAAAAUGGUUGAAUUAUCCCUUUGGAUUUGCUUACAAAAGGAAUUUAGAAAUCUGUCAUCUCUAUGCUAUCACUGCCAGUGUAGUCAGAAAGGUGAUGCUUUGGCAACAAAUUCCAUUGGAAA